AAAAUCCGUCGAUUUUUAAAAUCGUGAGGGUUCAAGUCCCUCUAUCCCCC
rnacentral:tRNA from 12 species